AGGAAUUGGCGGGGGAGCACAGCAACGGGUGGAGCGUGCGGUUUAAUUGGAUUCAACGCCGGAAAACUCACCGGAGGCGACGGUUACAUGAAGGCCAGGCUGAUGACCUUGCCAGAUUUUCCGAAAGGUGGUGCAUGGCCGCCGUCAGUUCGUACCGUAAGGCGUUCUGUUAAGUCAGACAACGAACGAGACCCUCAUCUUUAUUUGCUACUGGUAAGUCCGCUUAUCAGGCACACUAAAGAAACCGCUGGCGAUAAGUCAGAGGAAGGCGAGGGCAACGGUAGGUCAGUAUGCCCUGAAUCCUCCGGGCUACACGCGCGCUACAAAGGCCAGGACAAUGGGCUUCGACACCGAGAGGUGAAGGUAAUCCCGAAACCUGGUCGUAGUUCGGAUCGAGGGUUGAAACUCACCCUCGUGAAGCUGGAAUCCGUAGUAAUCGCAGAUCAACAUCCUGCGGUGAAUAUGCCCCUGCUCCUUGCACACACCGCCCGUCAAACCAUGCGAGUUGGGUCUGAGUGAGGAUGUAAUUCUUGUUACAUUCAAACUUAGGCUUAGUAAGCGGGGUUAAGUCGUAACAAGGUAGCC
rnacentral:rRNA from 1 species